rnacentral:rRNA from 1 species
GGGCCCGCACAAGCAGUGGAGCAUGUGGUUUAAUUCGAUGCAACGCGAAGAACCUUACCAGGCCUUGACAUCCUCGGAACUUUCUAGAGAUAGAUUGGUGCCUUCGGGAACCGAGUGACAGGUGCUGCAUGGCUGUCGUCAGCUCGUGUCGUGAGAUGUUGGGUUAAGUCCCGUAACGAGCGCAACCCUUAUCCUUAAUUGCCAGCGGUUAGGCCGGGAACUCUAAGGAGACUGCCGAUGACAAAUCGGAGGAAGGUGGGGACGACGUCAAGUCAUCAUGGCCCUUACGUGUAGGGCUACACACGUGCUACAAUGGCCGGUACAAACGGUUGCGAACCCGCGAGGGGAAGCUAAUCUCGAAAGUCUAUCUCAGUUCGGAUUGGAGUCUGCAACUCGACUCUAUG